rnacentral:rRNA from 1 species
CAUCCUCCAAGGCUAAAUACUCCUGACUGACCGAUAGUGAACCAGUACCGUGAGGGAAAGGCGAAAAGAACCCCGGCGAGGGGAGUGAAAAAGAACCUGAAACCGUGUACGUACAAGCAGUGGGAGCCCCACCACCAAAGCAUUCUCUGGUGUUGAAGGCCCUGCAAAGCAGCAUCGCGGUGGCGGAGCGUCGUUUGCGACGCCCAACACAAAAAACAAGCGGUGAGUGCUUUGGGGUGGGGUGACUGCGUACCUUUUGUAUAAUGGGUCAGCGACUUAUAUUCUGUAGCAAGGUUAACCGAAUAGGGGAGCCGUAGGGAAACCGAGUCUUAACUGGGCGUUAAGUUGCAGGGUAUAGACCCGAAACCCGGUGAUCUAGCCAUGGGCAGGUUGAAGGUUGGGUAACACUAACUGGAGGACCGAACCGACUAAUGUUGAAAAA